GCAGGCAAUGGUGAUUUUCACUUACAUAGAGUACUAAUUUGAUUAAGGAAAAAUCAUGUUCAUUCAUAAUUUUCAUUUUAAAAGUGUAUUCAUUCCUUCUGCAAAUCCAUACUGUCAUGCCUAUUCCCCAAUAUCGCCAACGCGGAUAGUUCGUUAGUCGAAAAUACUGAAUAAUUAAACAAACCAAAUGGCAUCACUGGUGGUUCUUUUUUCCACUCCGCUAAACUGUCAUCUCAAACAAAAACAAAUGGAUCAUACAACUGCUAUGAAUACAUUCGACUCGUUUGCUUCCAUCAAUCGGUAAGCGAGAAAGAUGAUUUCUCCCAUCACCACAGUGCGGAUUUCCACUUCUAUCACAGCAGCCAACAACAUCCGUUUUCCUGCAGCAGUAACCUCCAACCCCUGUUGGCAAUGCCGGGGGACAGCAUUAACAGCAGCAGCAGCAGAAUUUGACCAUGGUAUUGCGAAGAACUUUCCCCAUUAGAGGUUCCGUGCUUCGCGCACAUUCAAAAAUCCUCUUCAGACACGAAAACUCAACGACAAGGAGGUAUUUAUCAACUUCUCAGCUGAAUUACCACUCGGAAGAACCCGAAUGCACUGAUUCCGUUGUAUAGUAGAAUGAAAAUAGGCGAGGUAAGCGAACGUAAUCGCAUGAUAUUUUAAUGUUCGCAUUUUUAUCCGGAUCAUACAACUGCUAAGAAUACAUCCGACUCAAUCAAUCGGCGAAUGAGAAAGAUGAUUUCCCUCAUCACCACAUUGCUUAUUUCCACUUCUGUCACACCAGCCAACAGCAUCAGCUUUCCCGCAGCAGUAUCCUUUAAGUCCAGGGUGCUAUUCCGGGGAACAGCAUCAACAGUAACAGCAGCAGGACCUGGCCAUCGAUAGUAUUUCGAGCAAUUUUCCCCAUCGGAGAUCCCGUGCUUCACGCACAUUGAAGAAUCCUCCUCAGCCACAUAUCUGUGUCAUCAAGGGCAAGGAGGUAUUCAUCAAUGUACUCAGUCGGAUUUGAAUCGUCAAUCCAGACAACCCGGAUGCACCGAUUCCAUUCUAUACCUUAUUUUUAUUAUACAUGGAUUUUUAUUAUUUUUUUUCA